AUCAGAAUCUGACGUCUGAUAUUUCGACGGAGGUCCAAGUCACUUCUUCAAAGCGCAACCUACAUCAAAUCAYUAAAGUCUUCAACAAGAGCCCGUUCCUACAGAACAAGCGACGCCAAUAUCAAACAGUAUAGAAAAUAUGGCAGCGAUGUAGCUCUGUAAUUGUUGCAAAGCAGUCUUGCCAUGUCAUCUUGUGAGCUGAAGGAAAGCCAUUUAGUCCCUUUGGAAAACAAAUAAAGUAUAGUCGACAAAAAGCCUCGUAAAGAUCAAUUAUGCCUUAGCUUAGAUGAACAAAACGUUUGGAAACUAUUGCAAAAAGCUAAGACGCCAUACUUGUUAGUAUCAGAUUUCACCUUCGAAGCAAUUCAAGAUGAGGAGAAGAUCAGGGAAUGUCGUCGAAGAAUCGAAGCGUUGACCAUGAUUACAUAAAAGACUAAUGGCCACUAGUAGCACAUUGCCAUCGACUUUAUCAAGCCGUCAAAAGACCAAUUACUCUAGAAUAUGCAGACUWCUAACGGACAUUGGGACAAAAGUGUUGAGAGACGUUUUAGAUUCCUUACACCCACCUGCUAGUCUACAGAAACAUCUCAACUCAUCCGCUGUUAACUCUAUACUGAAAAAUCUCAGAAAKAAAAGAGUGGUUAACGCGCAACAAUGGCAAAGAUUAUACCCACCAUCAGGAGUACCAUUAUCGACUACCUUCGACAUAACACUGCUCUUCCUUCUCUUAAGGAAUACCUGUGGUCUGACUCCACCUACUACAGGAUGGGAUGCUGCACCACCUCCAGCUGAUGUUAGCAAAGAGGCUGAUCUAAUUCGAGUAAAACGAUGCCGAAAUGAAAUCACUGGUCAUAGCACAGCCGCAGAACUCUCUGAUGCUGAUUUUGGAAACCACUGGGCUGAAAUUGAGGCAGCAAUGAUAAGACUUGGAGGAUUGCAGUAUGAACCAGAAAUCCAGCGUCUGAAAAUCGAGUCAAUUGACCCUGAAAGUGAAGCCUAUUUGAAUGUUCUUAUUCAGUCAUGGGAAGAAGGCGAGGAUAAAAUAUUGGAUGCCAUUAGAGGAGAAUUCGAUAAACUAAAAAUACAACAUCCUACAUUAUUCCAAGGUAUUUCAUAUAUACUUAUCGAUCUCUAUACAUAUUUUACAAAUUCAUGAUAGGUUCUCGUGGUCAAUGUCUUUUUAUUUACCACGGUUGGUGUCAUCAAAUCGGCGUCAAAAUUGUUUCCUUCCACGAGACGAAGUCAAAACUUUUGACAAUGAGAUGGCACAAACCUUGGUCAAAAAAGAUAGCAAUUAGAUAGCAAUCCCAGAAGAAAAAUAAUAUUUCGACCAUGUUAUGUAUUUUCAUUUAUCACGGCUCUAUCUCAAUCAGUAAUCGAGAAAAUUUACAAUUGUAGUAAAAACAAUUUUAGUUUUAAUACACCUCCUCAUU